rnacentral:rRNA from 1 species
UUUGAUCCUGGCUCAGAUUGAACGCUGGCGGCAGGCCUAACACAUGCAAGUCGAGCGGCAGCACGGGAAGCUUGCUUCCUGGUGGCGAGCGGCGGACGGGUGAGUAAUGCAUAGGAAUCUGCCCGGUAGUGGGGGAUAACCUGGGGAAACCCAGGCUAAUACCGCAUACGUCCUACGGGAGAAAGCAGGGGCUCUUCGGACCUUGCGCUAUCGGAUGAGCCUAUGUCGGAUUAGCCGGUUGGUGAGGUAAUGGCUCACCAAGGCGACGAUCCGUAGCUGGUCUGAGAGGAUGAUCAGCCACAUCGGGACUGAGACACGGCCCGAACUCCUACGGGAGGCAGCAGUGGGGAAUAUUGGACAAUGGGCGCAAGCCUGAUCCAGCCAUGCCGCGUGUGUGAAGAAGGCCCUCGGGUUGUAAAGCACUUUCAGUGGGGAAGAAAGCCUUCCGGUUAAUACCCGGGAGGAAGGACAUCACCCACAGAAGAAGCACCGGCUAACUCCGUGCCAGCAGCCGCGGUAAUACGGAGGGUGCGAGCGUUAAUCGGAAUUACUGGGCGUAAAGCGCGCGUAGGUGGCUUGAUAAGCCGGUUGUGAAAGCCCCGGGCUCAACCUGGGAACGGCAUCCGGAACUGUCAGGCUAGAGUGCAGGAGAGGAAGGUAGAAUUCCCGGUGUAGCGGUGAAAUGCGUAGAGAUCGGGAGGAAUACCAGUGGCGAAGGCGGCCUUCUGGACUGACACUGACACUGAGGUGCGAAAGCGUGGGUAGCAAACAGGAUUAGAUACCCUGGUAGUCCACGCCGUAAACGAUGUCGACUAGCCGUUGGGUCCUUCGCGGACUUUGUGGCGCAGUUAACGCGAUAAGUCGACCGCCUGGGGGAGUACG